CCUACGGGAGGCAGCAGUGAGGAAUAUUGGUCAAUGGGCGCGAGCCUGAACCAGCCAAGUAGCGUGAAGGAUGACUGCCCUACGGGUUGUAAACUUCUUUUAUAAAGGAAUAAAGUGAGGCACGUGUGCCUUUUUGUAUGUACUUUAUGAUUAAGGAUCGGCUAACUCAGUUCCAGCAGCCGCGGUACUACGGAGGCUGCGAGCGUUAUCCGGCUUUAUUGGGUUUAAAGGGUGCGUAGGCGGGUUAUAAAGUCAGCGGUAAAAUCGUGGAGCUCAACUCCAUCCAGCCGUUGAUACUGAUGAUCUUGAGUGGGCGAGAGGUAAGCGGAAUGCGUGGGGUAGCGGUGAAAUGCGUAGAUAUCAGGAAGAACUCCGAUUGCGAAGGCAGCAUACCGGCGCCCGACUGACGCUGAAGCACGAAAGCGUGGGUAGCGAACAGGAUUAGAUACCCCAGUAGUC
rnacentral:rRNA from 1 species